rfam:Chlorocebus sabaeus isolate 1994-021 chromosome 13, whole genome shotgun sequence.
UUUCAGGUUUCUUUAGAAACCAGCAUAUUUUUAAAAACAUUUUUU